GACGAACGCUGGCGGCGUGCUUAACACAUGCAAGUCGAACGGUAAGGUCCUUCGGGGUACACGAGUGGCGAACGGGUGAGUAACACGGGGGUGAGCUGCCCUGCACUUCGGGAUAAGCCUGGGAAACUGGGUCUAAUACCGGAGAGGACCACUGCCUGCAUGGGUGGUGGUGGCAAGCUUUUGCGGUGUGGGAUGGGCCCGCGGCCUAUCAGCUUGUUGGUGGGGUGCUGGCCUACCAAGGCGACGACGGGUAGCCGGCCUGAGAGGGUGACCGGCCACACUGGGACUGAGAUACGGCCCAGACUCCUACGGGAGGCAGCAGUGGGGAAUAUUGCACAAUGGGCGCAAGCCUGAUGCAGCGACGCCGCGUGAGGGAUGACGGCCUUCGGGUUGUAAACCUCUUUCAGCACCGACGAAGAGCAAGUGACGGUAGGUGCACAAGAAGGACCGGCCAACUACGUGCCAGCAGCCGCAGUAA
rnacentral:rRNA from 1 species